rnacentral:rRNA from 1 species
UUGGGGACUCGUGAGAGACUGCCGGGGUUAACUCGGAGGAAGGUGGGGAUGACGUCAAAUCAUCAUGCCCCUUAUGUCCAGGGCUUCACACAUGCUACAAUGGUCGGUACAACGCGUCUGCGAGCCUGUGAGGGUGAGCUAAUCGCUGUAAAGCCGGUCGUAGUUCGGAUUGGGGUCUGCAACUCGACCCCAUGAAGUCGGAGUCGCUAGUAAUCGCAGAUCAGCAACGCUGCGGUGAAUACGUUCCCGGGCCUUGUACACACCGCCCGUCACGUCAUGAAAGUUGGUAACACCCGAAGCCAGUGGCCUGUCAAAAGGAGCUGUCGAAGGUGGGAUCGGCGAUUGGGACGAAGUCGUAACAAGGUAGCCGUACCGGAAGGUGCGGCUGGAUCACCUCCUUU